rnacentral:rRNA from 1 species
GAUCCUGGCUCAGGAUGAACGCUAGCGGCAGGCUUAAUACAUGCAAGUCGAGGGUAUGAAGUAGCUUGCUAUUUUAGAGACCGGCAAACGGGUGCGGAACACGUACACAAUCUAACCUUAUCUGGGGGAUAGCCCAUAGAAAUGUGGAUUAAUACCCCAUAGUAUUACGGAGUGGCAUCAUUUUGUAAUUAAGAAUUUCGGAUAAGGAUGAGUGUGCGUCUGAUUAGGUAGUUGGCGGGGUAACGGCCCACCAAGCCGACGAUCAGUAGCUGAUGUGAGAGCAUGAUCAGCCACACGGGCACCGAGACACGGGCCCGACUCCUACGGGAGGCAGCAGUAAGGAAUAUUGGUCAAUGGACGGAAGUCUGAACCAGCCAUGCCGCGUGAAGGACGAAGGCGUUCUGCGUUGUAAACUUCUUUUAUCAGAGAAGAAACCACCGAUUUCUAUUGGUGUUGACGGUAUCUGAUGAAUAAGCACCGGCUAACUCCGUG